CCUAAGGUAGCGAAAUUCCUUGUCGGGUAAGUUCCGACCUGCACGAAUGGCGUAAUGAUGGCCAGGCUGUCUCCACCCGAGACUCAGUGAAAUUGAACUCGCUGUGAAGAUGCAGUGUACCCGCGGCAAGACGGAAAGACCCCGUGAACCUUUACUAUAGCUUGACACUGAACACUGGUCCUUGAUGUGUAGGAUAGGUGGGAGGCUUUGAAGCGUGGACGCCAGUCUGCGUGGAGCCAACCUUGAAAUACCACCCUUUAAUGGCUGGUGUUCUAACGUAGACCCGUAAUCCGGGUUGCGGACAGUGUCUGGUGGGUAGUUUGACUGGGGCGGUCUCCUCCCAAAGAGUAACGGAGGAGCACGAAGGUUGGCUAAUCCUGGUCGGACAUCAGGAGGUUAGUGCAAUGGCAUAAGCCAGCUUGACUGCGAGCGUGACGGCGCGAGCAGGUGCGAAAGCAGGUCAUAGUGAUCCGGUGGUUCUGAAUGGAAGGGCCAUCGCUCAACGGAUAAAAGGUACUCCGGGGAUAACAGGCUGAUACCGCCCAAGAGUUCAUAUCGACGGCGGUGUUUGGCACCUCGAUGUCGGCUCAUCACAUCCUGGGGCUGAAGUAGGUCCCAAGGGUAUGGCUGUUCGCCAUUUAAAGUGGUACGCGAGCUGGGUUUAGAACGUCGUGAGACAGUUCGGUCCCUAUCUGCCGUGGGCGCUGGAGAAUUGAGGGGGGCUGCUCCUAGUACGAGAGGACCGGAGUGGACGCAUCACUGGUGUUCGGGUUGUCAUGCCAAUGGCACUGCCCGGUAGCUAAAUGCGGAAAAGAUAAGUGCUGAAAGCAUCUAAGCACGAAACUUGCCCCGAGAUGAGUUCUCCCUGAGACUUUAAGUCUCCUGAAGGAACGUUGAAGACUACGACGUUGAUAGGUCGGGUGUGUAAGCGCAGCGAUGCGUUGAGCUAACCGAUACUAAUGAACCGUGAGGCUUAACCUU
rnacentral:rRNA from 1 species